GAAAUGCGAUAAGUAAUGUGAAUUGCAGAAUGCAGUGAAUCAUCGAAUCUUUGAACGCACAUUGCGCCCGCCAGUAUUCUGGCGGGCAUGCCUGUCCGAGCGUCAUUUCAACCAUCAAGCCCCCGGGCUUGUGUUGGGGACCUGCGGCUGCCCGCAGGCCCUGAAAACCAGUGGCGGGCUCGCUGUCACACCGAGCGUAGUAGCAAUCACCUCGCUCAGGGCGUGCUGCGGGUUCCGGCCGUUAAACAGCCUUACAAAACCCAAGGUUGACCUCGGAUCAGGUAGGAAGACCCGCUGAACUUAAGC
rnacentral:misc_RNA from 1 species